rnacentral:rRNA from 1 species
GACAGAGGGUGCAAACGUUGUUCGGAAUUACUGGGCGUAAAGCGUGCGCAGGCGGUUCGUUGUGUCGGCGGUGAAAGCCCCGGGCUUAACCUGGGAAUGGCCGUUGAAACUGGCGAACUGGAGUGUGGCAGAGGGGGGUGGAAUUCCGCGUGUAGCAGUGAAAUGCGUAGAGAUGCGGAGGAACACCGAUGGCGAAGGCAGCCCCCUGGGCUAACACUGACGCCCAGGCACGAAAGCGUGGGGAGCAAACAGG